AGAAAUGACCAGUUCAAGAGGAGAAUGAGAUUGGCUUCCAAAUGUUGGUCAAGAGCUCUACGUAGCAUGAGCCAAGGAUCUAUUGAACUUAGUAGGCUCCUGUGACCGGUGACUCUUCUGUCUCUAGAAAUCUGGGGAGGUGACCAGGUCAUACAUGGCAGUCUUCCCGUGAGGAACGUUAAACUGGUUGGAAGUUGGGGUUCUGAGGGGAAGAUGUAUUCACUAGGUGACCUGUCUUCUCUGCCUCGGUGGCCUCCAUGGCUGCCUGCUGGCCGCACACCCCCACUCAGCAGAGGAAUGGACUUUCCAAUCUUGCUGAGUGUGUUUGACCAAAGGUGGUGCUGACUUAGUGGCCUAAGGUCGUGCCCUCCCUCCCCCACUGAAUCGAUAAAUAAUGCGACUUAUCAGAAAGAGAAAGAAUUGUUUACUUUUAAACCCUGGAUCCCAUAAAGGGAGAGGGGAGAGGCCUAAAGCCACAGAAGCUGUGGAAGGCGCCAUCCUGCCUGCCACAGGAAGGGCCUUGGACUGAGAGGACCGGAGCUGACUGGGGAUUAUUCAAAGCCAAAAGCCAACAGAGCCCCCAUGGAGAAGUGGAGGAUGCUCAGAUACUGCUAUGGAGCCCUGAGAAGUGAAAUGGGUCCAAGCCCUUGCCCAGGAUAGAGCGCUCCAAGCGCAUCCUCCGGGGACCCUUUUAAUCAGUGAAUUGUUCACCUCUCACUGUUUCUUCCCAGCAGAGCUAAGAGACUUCUAGAGCCUCUUGUGGAUGGUCAGCGAUAGCCCUGGUCACAAUAUGUGGAGCUGACAAGGUUCCCCUAUUAUCAGUGACAAUGGUGGAAUGUGGAGGUGAAGUUAACACCUUCGUGGCUACAGAGUUUCCUUAGCAGAGCUGUGGAGUGUGACAAUGGUGUUUGUGUCUAAACUAUCAAACGCCAUUAUCACACUAAAUAGCUACUGCUAGGCAAUCCUUCCCUCGAUAAAUGUCUUGGCAUCGUUUGCUUUGAGCAAGAAGGUUCAUCUGAUAUCAGUCUUCUCAAUCUUGUGUACUUACUGAAUAAAGUCUGGCUCUUUUGCACUCAUAACCAA
rnacentral:lncRNA from 1 species